ACGUAGGAGGCGAGCGUUAUCCGGAGUUACUGGGCGUAAAGCGCGUGUAGGCGGCUCAUCAGGUCUGAUGUGAAAGCUCCCAGGCUAAACCGGGAGAGGUCAUUGGAAACCGAGGAGCUAGAGGCUGGAAGAGGGAUAUGGAAUUCCGGGUGUAGUGGUGAAAUGCGUAGAGAUCCGGAGGAACACCAGAAGCGAAGGCGGUAUCCUGGUCCAGAACUGACGCUGAGACGCGAAAGCAUGGGGAGCGAACGGG
rnacentral:misc_RNA from 1 species